rnacentral:rRNA from 1 species
CCUACGGGCGGCUGCAGUGAGGAAUAUUGGUCAAUGGACGUAAGUCUGAACCAGCCAUCCCGCGUGCAGGAAGAAGGCGCUAUGCGUCGUAAACUGCUUUUCCAGGGGAAGAAAACCUGAUACGUGUAUCGGCUUGCCGGUACCCUGGGAAUAAGCAUCGGCUAACUCCGUGCCAGCAGCCGCGGUAAUACGGAGGAUGCGAGAGUUAUCCGGAUUUAAUGGGUUUAAGGGGGACUAAGAAGGCUUCGUUGAAAACCUUCAGCUUAACUGGAGACUUGCCAUUGAUACUGUUAGUCUUGAGUACGGUCAAGGUAGGCGGAAUGUGUAAUGUAGCGGUGAAAUGCUUAGAUAUUACACAGAACACCGAUUGCGAAGGCAGCUUACUGGGCCAUUACUGACGCUGAUGCACGAAAGCGUGGGGAGCGAACAGGAUUAGAUACCCGUGUAGUC